UUUUUUAAGGGUAACAAGGGCGGGCAGGGGACAGAGAGAAAGAGAGAGAGAGAGAGAGAAAGGGGGAGUGUGUUUGGGGGGAGCGGAUUAAAGGGAGUUUUGAACCCGGCUCCAGGUCCCAGAGAGUUUUGCAAAAGCCCCGCUGAAAAGGACCCAGCUUGGCCCACCCAGACACACCUGGCUUUCUUUCCAUCCGGGUCCCUGGAAGCUCAGGAAGAGGCCUGGUGCUUUCUAGGGGUGUUGAGAAAGACAGGGGACCCCACUAGAGCUUUUCCAAAGUUCUCCUCAGGGCCACAAACCUGAUGACCGCCACAUAGAGCCAGACCCUUGGCCUGUGUAGUUUUUUAAAAUUUUACUGAUUUAUUGACGGAUUGAUUUUUUUUUUUUUUUUUUUUAAGGGUAACAAGGGCCCGGGGGAGAGAGAGACACAGAGAAAGAGACAGAGAGAAAGGGGGAGUGUGUUUGGGGGGAGCGGAUUAAAGGGAGUUUUGAACCCGGCUCCAGGUCCCAGAGAGUUUUGCAAAAGCCCCGCUGAAAAGGACCCAGUUUGGCCCACCCAGACACACCUGGCUUUCUUUCCAUCCGGGUCCCUGGAAGCUCAGGAAGAGGCCUGGUGCUUUCUAGGGGUGUUGAGAAAGACAGGGGACCCCACUAGAGCUUUUCCAAAGUUCUCCUCAGGGCCACAAACCUGAUGACCGCCACAUAGAGCCAGACCCUUGGCCUGCGUAAUUUUUUUAAAUUUUACUGAUUU